rnacentral:rRNA from 1 species
AUUGAACGCUGGCGGCAGGCUUAACACAUGCAAGUCGGACGGUAGCAGGAGAAAGCUUGCUUUCUUGCUGACGAGUGGCGGACGGGUGAGUAAUGCUUGGGAAUCUGGCUUAUGGAGGGGGAUAACUACGGGAAACUGUAGCUAAUACCGCGUAGAAUCGGAAGAUGAAAGUGCGGGACCGCAAGGCCGCAUGCCAUGAGAUGAGCCCAAGUGGGAUUAGGUAGUUGGUGGGGUAAAGGCCUACCAAGCCUGCGAUCUCUAGCUGGUCUGAGAGGAUGGCCAGCCACACUGGAACUGAGAGACGGUCCAGACUCCUACGGGAGGCAGCAGUGGGGAAUAUUGCGCAAUGGGGGGAACCCUGACGCAGCCAUGCCGCGUGAAUGAAGAAGGCCUUCGGGUUGUAAAGUUCUUUCGGUAUUGAGGAAGGAGUGUAUGUUAAUAGCAUGCAUUAUUGACGUUAAAUACAGAAGAAGCAUCGGCUAACUCCGUGCCAGCAGCCGCGGUAAUACGGAGGGUGCGAGCGUUAAUCGGAAUAACUGGGCGUAAAGGGCACGCAGGCGGUUAUUUAAGUGAGGUGUGAAAGCCCCGGGCUUAACCUGGGAAUUGCAUUUCAGACUGGGUAACUAGAGUACUUUAGGGAGGGGUAGAAUUCCACGUGUAGCGGUGAAAUGCGUAGAGAUGUGGAGGAAUACCGAAGGCGAAGGCAGCCCCUUGGGAAUGUACUGACGCUCAUGUGCGAAAGCGUGGGGAGCANNNAGG